GAUGAAGAACGUAGCGAAAUGCGAUAAGUAAUGCGAAUUGCAGAAUUCAGUGAGUCAUCGAAUCUUUGAACGCACAUUGCGCCCGCUGGUAUUCCGGCGGGCAUGCCUGUUCGAGCGUCAUUUCAACCCUCAAGCCCCCGGGUUUGGUGUUGGGGAUCGGCUCUGCCCUUCUGGGCGGUGCCGCCCCCGAAAUACAUUGGCGGUCUCGCUGCAGCCUCCAUUGCGUAGUAGCUAACACCUCGCAACUGGAACGCGGCGCGGCCAUGCCGUAAAACCCCAACUUCUGAAUGUUGACCUCGGAUCAGGUAGGAAUACCCGCUGAACUUAAGCAUAUCAAUAAGCGGAGGA
rnacentral:misc_RNA from 1 species